GCGAUCAUACCAGCACUAAUGCACUGGAUCCCAUCAGAACUCCGAAGUUAACCGUGCUUGGGCGAGAGCAGUACUAGGAUGGGUGACCCCCUGGGAAGUCCUCGUGUUGCACCU
rnacentral:rRNA from 1 species